AGGUACUGGUCUCUCAGCCUGUAAGGCUUGUGCAUGAUGUCUAUGAGAGCAAUUUCCAGCAGAGCGAAGCCUUAUCACCAAUUCACCUAAAAGAACAGCGCUGAACAACAGCUUCGUGGAAGAGUAUUGUUUCUUUUUGGACAUCAUGCCUCUUUGAGAGUUAAAACUCUUGCUUUCAAGUAAUAGUGACUGGGAAGUGCUUUCAAAAUCCUGAGGUACUUCUGUUUCUGCAGCCCUGUCAGCCUGAAGAAAGGUGAAGUGGGUGAAUAUCAGACAGCUCAUUAUAGAGACAUGCAUGCUGCAUUCCCAAAGUAGGAUGACAGAACAAGUCAUGCCCAGAAGGUUGUAACCCACCACUGGUGUUCUUUGGGAGUUCUUGCCUGUUCCCAGCAGUCUGAAUCCCAUCUCUUCCUCAUGAAGUGUCAGGAGGAACAACAUUCAGUCCUGCAUCUCCUUCUGGUGGAUAAGAGUCAUGGAUGUUAAAGGAGACAGUAAUCAGGCUGUUGUGAAAGAUCUGAUACCAGCUUUGGUCAAAGGGGUCGAGCGUCAUCCUGAGAGUGCUCCUCUCUGGGACAGGAAACCGACAGAGCGAAGCCCUGAGAACAUGCCAUGACACUUCAUAUUCAAUCUGCAACCCUAUAAAGAGAUGAAAAAUGAGCCUUGUCCAAACCUCUUACCUCAGCACCCAAUGGCAAAAAUAAAAUGUGAGCUUGGGACCACGUCUCUUUGAAGCUGAUUUUUUUCUAUUUUUUUUUUAAACUCUCCAACAGGCCUCUGGUGGUUACAGGUAUUGAUCGUCAGAAAGUAAUCUGUUCAGGUUUGGGGGCAUGCCAGACCGAAUCCUGGAGUACAUUCCUUCCUCUCCAAGGACACUUUGGGCUUUUUAUACUGUCCACCCUGGCAUGCUUGUCAGCUGUCUGGCUUCUUUGUCUUUACUGCUUUCCCUGUUUGUGGAAAGAAUAUAAUGAAACCUGCCUUAUACAAAUAUUAUACAUUGCUCCUCUAGAAUUUUCUGCCAGUGCUGAAGGUUUUUUACCCCAUUUUUUUAACCCUCAUUUUUCUUCUAUAAUCAUUAUUUGAUUCCCUCUGGCUGCCUGCUACUUAUUUGUAGUAGUACCAUUCAUCCAUUGAGACUUUUCCAUCUGUCACACAGUUUGCUUUCUCUCCCCAGAAGCUUUCUUCUACUACUAUGCCAUGCUUGAUUUUUUGGGUUUAGUUGCAUGUUUUUAUGCUCUUUUUAACAUUUUUUAAAAAAUGCUUCAGUAUUCAAAACAAAUAUGA